rnacentral:lncRNA from 1 species
AUUUGGUAAUGGGGCCUGUUUCACCGCCAUUUGUGCAUCAGCUCACUGCCUCUGCGGGGAAAGAUACCUAGGCAUUGUGGAGAGGACUUGCUAUUGGGAGCUUGGGCCCCAAAGUCAGAAUGCCCGGGCUCCAAUCUCUGGGCUGUGCCUGUGCUGAGCUGUGUGGGGGUGAGUGACUUCCCCUGCUCUGCCUCAGUUUCCUCUGCUCUAAAAUGAGUCCAAUGGUAGAAUCCACCUCUGAGGCAUUUGUGAGGGUCAACAGAGAUGGUGUGGGUUAGGGUUAAGUGCUCGCACUUACAAGGGGCUUCAUUGUUUCCAGCGGGCGUUCAUGGACUCGCUUGUAGCUGCAGUGAGGCCUUGAAUGAGUUAAUUAAAUUCAGGGAGUCCUGGCUUUUCCAGCUGUAAAAUGAGAAAUGUAUGCUGGCUGGUCUAGAAAGUUACUGCUGGCUCUGAAAUUCAAGAGUUGUUGGAUUGUAACAGUAUAGUUGGAAAAAGGAAAGGAGGGAGAAAAAGAGAGAGAGAGAGAAGAGAGGGGAGAGAAAGAAGAGAGGAAGAGAGAAAAGAGAGGGAAAGAGAGAGAAGAAAGAGAAUGAGAUAGAAAAGAGAGUGAGAAGAAGGGGGAGAGGGAGAAAGAGAAGGGAAGGGGGAGGGAGGGAGAGACACUGUGUAAGAGCAGAUGCCUUAAGCAGAAGGAAAAAGUCCCUAAGUGACAAGAAGCUCUGAGUUCACCAAAAUGCUUAACCAAGAUAAGAAGGAUGUAACUGAUGUUGGAAAGAUUGUUAUGAGAUUAAUAAAAGUGAUUAAGGGAUUAAGACUUCUCAAAAGAGAUAGUGAAGGGACCUCCAAUGGGAAAAUCCUCCCUCACCCUCUGUACCCAGCCUCUCUUCUCGGUUUUUAAGUCCUCAGUCAUGUAGGCAUCUAACAAAAUCGUCUCAGCAGAUGCUCAAAUAGAAUAAAUAGAAUCCUGGCUUAAGCCCAUCUUAGACAUUGGGAGAGGUCCCCUGUGACACACACACACACAGUCAAAUAACUGGAUUUAUUUCUGGGAAUGUCUGGAGGAAUUUAAGGUAUGCCUUGAGUCAUGGGUCCAGGGUCAAGGUUAAUCUGUGGGGCUGUUCUACUGAGCACAUAAGUCCUAGAUAGACACGCCUGUAGGGGAACAUAGAUAUGAACUAGGCAUCAGGAGGGAGCCUGGGUAGGUUGGGGGCAGAAGGUGUACUUAGAACUGGGAGAUCCUGGGGAUGUCAAUCUCAGUUUUGACAUAUGGCAGGUACUCAAAAGAAGAAAAAUGCCAUCCCCUUCCACUGCUUCAACCCUAUCCUCAGUUUUCCCACCUGCAACCUCGGAACAAGGAUACUUCUCCAAGACACAAUGGGUGGGAAAGCACUUUACAAAGGAAUCACUGGCAUUCCUUCCCAAAGGGUUUUCCAGCACCCUUGUUGGAAGAUUCUUGACUUUUCUGUUGUUCUAGAAUAACAAACAGAAACCCGGACCCACUGUCCUGCUCUUCCAGCAAUUUUCCCACAGCAGGGGGUAGGGUGGUCAGCUCCAGAGUUGGAAAGGUGGUCCCAGUCACUUUCAGGUUCAAAACCCACCUCCAUCUCUUACCAGUUGUGGGUGUGAUCUCUGUUUCCUCAUCUGAAAAAUGGCAGUGAUUUUACUGGGUUAGCUGUGAGGGGAAAAUAAAAUAAUGCACAAAAAUAGCCUGGGAUGGUGCUUGACAUACGGC